CAUUCCCUGGUCCUCAAUGACCUGCAGCAUGGACUCUGCACACUCCUCCACCCCCACUGCUUCUGGGCUUGGCUUCCUCAUGGAUGCAGUGCUGCCUCAUUCCUGGCUAAUAAUGGAGCUCCCUGUCGUGUGCAUCUGCUUCUUGGAGAGACCACCAGCCUGGCUCCUUAGGGGCAGGAUACGAGUUCCUGGAUUUCAUGGCCCUGACAAUCCAGUCGGGGCUCCUGGUGCCCAUGGUCCACAGUACAGGAGAUUCCUACAUGGAAAAGAAUGGACACUGCAUUAUCCUAUUACCACUCACCUACUGGAUAGGGGGUGCCUAGGCCUCAUGCUGGUCUCUCUCUCAAGGAAGAAAGUCUUGAAUUUCCAAUUCCAAUAUACCAAACAAGUUAUUGCCUACCAAUGUAGCAGUGGGAUGGGGUUGAGAGAAAAAGCAAGGAGGCUACAUGCAUGGGACACAUACAAAAGCCAUGCAGUUCCAGGUCUGAUAACAUUCUUAAAUAUCCCAACAGCUGAUAAGCUCCAGGGCUUCUGAUAUCCCGCAUAGCACAAGCUGUGUUUUUUGGAACCGUAUCUUUAAGUGUCUUAGCUUCAGAGGCAGGAAGUCUGGGAACAGGCAAAAGACGCUCAUGGUCUGUUAUGCAGAGGUAGCGGGAAUUGGACACUGAAUGAUAUGAAAAUACAACCUGAGUGGAAGGCUAGAGCAACCAAAAGCUCUCCCAGUGCUGAGGCUCUGGAAAUAAGACAGAAAACUGGAAGAGAUUUAUGUAGUGCUUUACUCUGUAUCUGCAAACAAUGGUGCCAGUGAAAAGGAAGAGUCAGGAGGCAGCUUUAUUUUUAAUAGCUGGUUCUGACGCACUUGAUGUAUUUAGCAGUUCUCAAUUAACUCAGGCAGAGAAUGUUAACUGAAGCUAGAGCAGAAAUGUGAGGAGGAUAGCACUCCAUGGAAAAAGUGACAUACAGGAGAGGGUGGAUUUUAACUUGAAGAUACAAAAAGGUGAGACUAUAGGGCUCUGUGGCAGGGUAGCCAGUCUUGCAAAGUUAGAGGGCUAACUGAGAAACUGAGAAAAUGCAGAGAUCACUGGGGGGCUCCGAAUUAACCCUUGCCAAAGCAGUUAGAAUUUUCCAAUUACCCAAUCCAGACUGAAGCAACUGCAGCUUAUGCUUGAAUGCUGUGAUUGAAAAUCCAAAAUACUACAAGAAAGAAAGCUAAGGCAGAAGGCAUAUGAAGCUCAAAGUCAUGGUAAAGUAAGAACAGCGCAUGGAACUAUGCCCACAGUGAUGAACGGCAAAAACCUGGACAAUGCCUGACAUGGCAAAAGACCCUAAAACUGCAGCGGACUAAAUCAUUUUGCAAUGACGUGCAAGAGCCAACAAAACACACACAGCAUGGAUAAGGAAGACAAGAACCACACCAAGGGAAUUUGACCUAAAAGCAAUAGAUACUGCUUUGGCAGAAGAUGACCAGAUUGCCCACUUGAAUGCAACCAAGAAAUGGAAGCCACUAGGUACAACUUGAGGCUCAUCACUGUUAGUGCAUCCUGUUAAAGUAGCAGCAUUUAGUGAGAUCUAUGGUCAGAUAAACACUGGAAAAGAUCAGAUUUGUAAUAGCUCUGGGGAAGGGUGCACCAAUGCUGGGAAAAGUGUUUCAAGCCCUUGAUGUCGUCAAUAGGUACAUGUGCUUAGGGGAGGGACAAGGACCAAAACAAUUGAGGAAGAGUUUGGGAACAUUUUCCAGGAGAUAGGAAAGCUCUCAACAAAGUACAGAACUGAGCUGAGAGACCCUAGGUGUAUUUCACAGGAAUGACAAUUCUGGAUUGUAUGAUAUAAAGGUUUCAUGCACAUUGCAGGACAAAUAGCUUUUUCCAUCAAGCAAUGAUGUUUUAAAAUCAUAUUCCGUGCCAGGAAAUAUUACUGCAACUAAUCUUAAGUAUUACAGAAGAAGCUAGAAAGUUCUCAGAAAUGCCACUCAAGUGCUUAUAUUCAAUACAAAAAUAUAAACCGGCUGCUGGUCAAAAUUUUUCCAUCCGAAUUGUUUUAAAUGGAAAAGGUAUAAAAUUUGUAUCUAUUCUACAGAAAUGUAUAAUUUUUCAUUGGAAAACUAGCAACUGAAAAUCAAAACAUCCUAGCUGAAACUUAUUUUGGUUUGGGGUUAAAAAGCUAAUUAUUUUAAUUUAUGCCACAAAUAAAGAAAUUCAUUAAAA